GUGCUCGCUACGCAGCACAUAUACUAAAAUCGGAAUGAUACAGAGAAGAUGAGCAUGGCCCUUGCGCAAGGAUUACAUGCAAAUUUGUGAAGCAUUCCAAAUUUUU